UUGCAUUCAAGAUUUUAUUUUGAAAAGGUUUUUGGAAAAGAAAACAUAAAAGAAAAUAAAAAAAGAAAACCCCAGCCGAACCCCCCCUCACCCCGCGCACGGCCCAGUUCUUUUCCUCGGCCCACUACCUUCUCGGCCCAGGCGCGUGCACUCCCUCCCCUCCCUGUCUGCUGGGCUCGCUGACACCCUAGGCCCGCGAGUCAGCCUCCUCUCUCCCACCGACGACCCGGCCCCACCAGACAGCAAGUCCUCCCCUUCUUCCCCGCGUAUCCGACCAGGAUUCUUUCCUCCCCAGCGCCGAGCCGAUCCCGAAACCCCAUGAUCUCCUUUCUAUCUUGUGUGCCAAGCUUCUAUAAAGCCUCUAGAUCAACCCCGCGACCCCC
rnacentral:lncRNA from 1 species